rnacentral:sRNA from 1 species
GCCAGGUGCAGUGGUGUAUGCCUAUAAUCCCAGCAGCUUGGGAGGCUGAGGUAGGAGGAUCACAAGUUCAAAGCCAGCCUCAGCAACUUAGUGAGGCCCUAAGGAACUUAGUGAGAUCCUGUCUGUA